GAGAGGACUGGCCAGAAAAUCAGGGAUUGGCUACACUCAGAGGGUGUGAAAGGCUGCCUUUGCGGCCUGUGAGAUUCAUUCCAACCUGAGCCAAGGCAAAAAGAAGUUCAGGAUGGAGGGGUACAGCAUGGAGUGCUCUAGAGGCCUGAAGAUGAGCUUCUAGAAGAUGAUUUACCAGGACUUGAUUCUGAACUCAGCAUUUCUCCCAAGAGCACCAGUUCCGCCUAAUGAGGGCAACUCAAGCGAAUCCACAGGAAAGAAAAAGGAAAGUGAUAUUUUAAUUUUAUCCAGCCUGAAACACAACGGUACGCAAGGACGGUGCCUGCAAUUCUGACUCAUAAAUGUAUCAAUGCGUUAUUUUAUGGAAUAGAGACGUGUUCUGCCCAAAUUGGCUGUGAAGUGAAUAAACAUUAUUUUUCUACUGAAUUCAGCUAUAAAAUGACUAGAAGUCUUCCCACGGGGUUAGGAAAAAAAAGAAAGCAAAAAGCAGAAACCGACCGCCAGCGGGAAGAAAAGAAACGGCAUGGGGCCGACCGCGGCUGGCUUGCGAAGUGCAGAGGUGACUCCGUGCUCUCUGCGGCUGAUUUCUGUCGCUUUUUCCAAAUACCCCGACUGUAAAGAUCAUGCUCAUUUCCUCCCGCUUUGUUCUCCUUGUUUUCUUUUGAGGGGCUAUUAAACCCAGUGGAGCAGACUGCAAUAUUUUGCUUUACCUAGAGGUCCAUUUAACAUAAGCUUCAAGGGUUUGGCUGUAUAAACCCAGCAAUUUCCUACUUCAUCAUCGGUACAUUCACAGUUAUGCAGAUCCAGUCUCCUUGGAUGGGGAGCUGGGACCGCACCGUGCUUCAGCGCAUGGACUUCGCAGCCACACGGACCUGGGUUUGAGACAAAGCUCUGCCACUUAACGGUUACGUGAGUUUGGAGCUAUGAAAUCUCUGGGUCUCAGUUUCCACAUCUAUAUGGAGGAAGACUGUCCUUGAGUUACCAUCUGUGCCAAUCUUCCUCUAGUUUGUAUGUGGGACACGCCACAGCAUGGCUGAUGAGUGGUGUGUAGGUCCGUGCCUGGGAUCGGAACCCACAAAACCUGGGCUGCCAAAGCACAGCAUGUGAACUUAACUACUAUGCAACCGGGCCAGCCCCACAGAUUCCCUCAAUUUUUGACACGAGUGGAGAGAAACUGUGGCACACACAACAUGAAUCAUGUGGAGAGUGAACUCUUCGGUUCAGAACAGAAGGAGGUCUGUUCCGGUUACAGUAAUCUGACUGUGAUGUCAAUAACUAACCCCAGUGAAAUACACAGUGAAACACAUCAAUGCCAGACUGCCCUUACUGAAUCUGUAAUGGCCGCUUUCCGUCCUCCCCUUGCUUUUAGAUCCUCACUGCCAGGACGGAUUUCAGGGUCCAUCAUUUAAUCAGUUCCCUUGAUUCUCUCGUCUCUCUCGGCCUCCUGCCCACGGAGCUCAGCAAAGCCCAUUCUGCGUGGCCCAUCUGUCUUCUCUUGCCU
rnacentral:lncRNA from 1 species